rnacentral:rRNA from 1 species
GAUGAACGCUGGCGGCGUGCCUAAUACAUGCAAGUCGAGCUAACAGACGAGGAGCUUGCUCCUCUGACGUUAGCGGCGGACGGGUGAGUAACACGUGGAUAACCUACCUAUAAGACUGGGAUAACUUCGGGAAACCGGAGCUAAUACCGGAUAAUAUAUUUAACCGCAUGGUUCAAUAGUGAAAGACGGUUUUGCUGUCACUUAUAGAUGGAUCCGCGCCGCAUUAGCUAGUUGGUAAGGUAACGGCUUACCAAGGCAACGAUGCGUAGCCGACCUGAGAGGGUGAUCGGCCACACUGGAACUGAGACACGGUCCAGACUCCUACGGGAGGCAGCAGUAGGGAAUCUUCCGCAAUGGGCGAAAGCCUGACGGAGCAACGCCGCGAGAGUGAUGAAGGUAUUCGGAUCGUAAAACUCUGUUAUUAGGGAAGAACAAAUGUGUAAGUAACUAUGCACGUCUUGACGGUACCUAAUCAGAAAGCCACGGCUAACUACGUG